rnacentral:rRNA from 1 species
UUGACCUCAAAUCAGGUAGGACUACCCGCUGAACUUAAGCAUAUCAAUAAGCGGAGGAAAAGAAACUAACAAGGAUUCCCCUAGUAACUGCGAGUGAAGCGGGAAAAGCUCAAAUUUAAAAUCUGGCAGUCUUUUGGCUGUCCGA